AUACGGAAGGUCCGGGCGUUAUCCGGAUUUAUUGGGUUUAAAGGGAGCGCAGGCGGAGAUGCAAGCGUGACGUCAAAUUUCGGGGCUCAACCCCGUCUCGCGUCGCGAACUGCGUCCCUUGGUUGCGGGAAGGGGAGGCGGAACUCGGGGUGUAGCGGUGAAAUGCAUAGAUAUCCAGAAGAACUCCGAUCGCGAAGGCAGCCUUCCGGCCCGUCAACGACGCUCAUGCUCGAAGGUGCGGGUAUCAAACAGGAUUAGAUACCCUGGUAGUCCGCACAGUAAACGAUGGACACCCGCGGUUUGGCCUGUAUGGCUGAGCCGCCAAGCGAAAGCGUUAAGUGUCCCACCUGGGGAGUACGCCGGCAACGGUGAAACUCAAAUGAAUUGACGGGG
rnacentral:rRNA from 1 species